AUUGAACGCUGGCGGCAGGCCUAACACAUGCAAGUCGAACGAGUGGCGGACGGGUGAGUAAUGUCUGGGAAACUGCCUGACGGCGGGGGAUAACUACUGGAAACGGUAGCUAAUACCGCAUACCAUCAGAUGUGCCCAGAUGGGUUUAGCUUGUUGGUGGGGUAACGGCUCACCAAGGCGACGAUCCCUAGCUGGUCGGAGAGGAUGACCGGCCGCACUGGAACUGAGAGACGGGCCAGGCGCCCACGGGAGGCAACGGUGGGGAAAAUUGCACAAUGGGCGCAAUCCUGGAGCAGCCAUGGCGCGUGUAUGGAGGAGGCCUUCGGGUUGUAAAGUACUUACAGCGGGGAGGCGUUACCCGCAGAAGAAGCACCGGCUAACUCCGUGCCAGCAGCCGCGGUAAUAC
rnacentral:rRNA from 1 species